rnacentral:rRNA from 1 species
AUUGAACGCUGGCGGCAUGCCUAACACAUGCAAGUCGAACGGAAACGAUGGGAGCUUGCUCCCAGGCGUCGAGUGGCGGACGGGUGAGUAAUGCUUAGGAAUCUACCCAGUAGCGGGGGACAACUCGAGGAAACUCGAGCUAAUACCGCAUACGCCCUACGGGGGAAAGCAGGGGAUCUUCGGACCUUGCACUAUUGGAUGAGCCUAAGUCGGAUUAGCUUGUUGGUGAGGUAAAGGCUCACCAAGGCGACGAUCCGUAGCUGGUCUGAGAGGACGAUCAGCCACACUGGGACUGAGACACGGCCCAGACUCCUACGGGAGGCAGCAGUGGGGAAUAUUGGACAAUGGGGGCAACCCUGAUCCAGCAAUGCCGCGUGUGUGAAGAAGGCCUGCGGGUUGUAAAGCACUUUCAGUAGAGAAGAAAAGCCUAGGGUUAAUACCCCUGAGUCU